GGAUUAGAUACCCUGGUAGUCCACGCCGUAAACGAUGAUAACUAACUGUUAGGUGUUUUUUAGCAUUUAGUAGUGAAGCAAACGCGUUAAGUUAUCCGCCUGGGGAGUACGGUCGCAAGAUUAAAACUCAAAGGAAUUGACGGGGGCCCGCACAAGCGGUGGAGCAUGUGGCUUAAUUCGAUGCAACGCGAAAAACCUUACCUACCCUUGACAUCCUUGGAAGGUUCUAGAGAUAGAGCUGUGCCUUCGGGAACCAAGAGACAGGUGCUGCAUGGCUGUCGUCAGCUCGUGCCG
rnacentral:rRNA from 1 species